rnacentral:tRNA from 1 species
GGGUAUUUAGCUCAGUGGUAGAGCGCUUGCCUAGCAAGCGCAAGGCCCUGGGUUCGGUCCCCAGCCCC